UAGGGAAUCUUCCGCAAUGGGCGAAAGCCUGACGGAGCAACGCCGCGUGAGUGAUGAAGGUCUUCGGAUCGUAAAACUCUGUUAUUAGGGAAGAACAAAUGUGUAAGUAACUAUGCACGUCUUGACGGUACCUAAUCAGAAAGCCACGGCUAACUACGUGCCAGCAGCCGCGGUAAUACGUAGGUGGCAAGCGUUAUCCGGAAUUAUUGGGCGUAAAGCGCGCGUAGGCGGUUUUUUAAGUCUGAUGUGAAAGCCCACGGCUCAACCGUGGAGGGUCAUUGGAAACUGGAAAACUUGAGUGCAGAAGAGGAAAGUGGAAUUCCAUGUGUAGCGGUGAAAUGCGCAGAGAUAUGGAGGAACACCAGUGGCGAAGGCGACUUUCUGGUCUGUAACUGACGCUGAUGUGCGAAAGCGUGGGGUUCAAACAGG
rnacentral:rRNA from 1 species